AUCAACGCUGGCGGCGUGCCUAACACAUGCAAGUCGAGCGAGGAAAAGGGUAGCAAUACCUGAAGUAAAGCGGCGCACGGGUGAGUAACACGUGGAUAACCUGCCUCGAAGUGGGGAAUAACCCCGGGAAACCGGAGCUAAUACCGCAUACUCUGACGAGGUCUGCGGACUUUGUCAGGAAAGGAGCAAUUCGCUUUGAGAGGGGUCCGCGGCUGAUUAGCUAGUUGGUGAGGUAAUGGCUCACCAAGGCCACGAUCAGUAGCCGGUCUGAGAGGACGGUCGGCCACACUGGAACUGAGACACGGUCCAGACUCCUACGGGAGGCAGCAGUGGGGAAUUUUUCGCAAUGGGGGAAACCCUGAUGCAGCGAACGCCGCGUGGAGCUGAUGAAGCCCUUCGGUACGUGUAAAAGCCCUUUCGUCAGGGGAAGAAUCGGUGACGGUACCCUGUAGAAGCAGCUGCCGGCUAACUACGUGCCAGCAGCCGCGGUAAUACGGGAGGGCAGCAAGCGUUGUUCGGAAGUUACUGGGCGCUAAAGGGUGUGUAGGCGGUUCGUUAAGUUUGGAAUGUGAAAAUCUCCUCGGGCUUCAACCCAGGAGGGUGCAUCCGAAAUACUGAGGGAACUCGAGUGCUGGAGGAGGAAAGGGGAAUUCCUGGUGUAGCGGUGAAAAUGCGUAGAUAUCAGGAGGAACAGCCGGUGGUGUAGAAGGCGGCUUUCUGGACCGUAACUGACGCUGAGGACAGCGAAAGCGGGGGUAGCAAACAGGAUUAGAUACCCUGGUAGUCCACGGCCCCUAAACUAUGGCAUACUUUGGUGUGGGGGAUGCAUUCAGUUAUCGUGCCGUAGCUAACGCGUUAAUAAGUAUGCCCGCCUGGGGAGUACAGGUCGCAAGGCUGAAACUCAAAGGAAUUGACGGGGGCCCGCACAAGCGGUGGAGCAUGUGGUUUCAAUUCGACGCGAACGCGAAGAACCUUACCUGGGCUCGAACGGCUUCGUGCAACGGCCGAUAGAAAGUAUUGUACCCCCGCAAGGGGUGAAGUCGAGGUGCUGCAUGGCUGUCGUCAGCUCGUGUCGUGAGGAUGUUGGGUUAAGUCCCGCAACGAGCGCAACCCCUUGUCCUUUAGUUGCCUAACACGUUCAUGGUGGGAACCCUCUAGAGGAGACCUGCCAGCGAUGAAAACCUGGAGGAAGGUGGGGAUGACGUCAAGUCCUCAUGGCCUUUAUGUCCAGGGCUACACACGUACUACAAUGGACGGUACAAAUGCGUCAGCAAAACCCGCAAGGGGGAGCCAAUCUCAAAAAAACCGUUCUCAGUUUCGGAUUGCAGUCUGCAACUCGCCUGCCAUGAAGCUGGAAUCGCUAGUAAUCGCUAGAUCAGCAACGCAUGCGGUGAAUACGUUUCCCGGGCCUUGUACACACCGCCCGUCACAUCACGAAAGUGCGAUUGUACUAGAAGUCCUGCAGGCUGAAUCAACCGCAAGGGGGGCUAGCCGGCCCAAGGUAUGAUCCAUGGUGAUUGGGGUG
rnacentral:rRNA from 1 species